AGCUUCAGAGGAACAUUGUGCCAAUAGUUGAUCUUCAGAUACAUUCUGUCAAUGAUACCAGCUUCUUUCGACUUCAGAGAUGGACAAAUAAGAGACAACUUUGCAAGAAUGGAAACUAGAUGGCAUUGCAGUUUGAUUUUGAAGAUGGCCACACCAAUUAGCUGGGCUUGUAUUGUGAGAGCGCUGUUGAAAUCUCCUAAUGAAAUUCCUGAAAAUGGCGUUGAGAGGAUGACUAUUAUUCACACAUAAACCAGAGGGAAGAUGGGGAUCAAC